rnacentral:sRNA from 1 species
AGUGGGCACUGUAUGUGAGAGACUGGU